CACACUCAUCUAUACAGUCCACACCAUCACACACACACACACAUCUAUACAGUCCACACCAUCACACACACACAUCCAUACAGUCCACACCAUCACACACACAUCCAUAUAGUCCACACCAUCACAUACCCGUACAGUCCACACCGUCAUACACACACACACAUAUCUGUACAGUCCACACCUUCACACAUCCAUACAGUCCACACCGUCAUACACACACACAUCUAUACAGUCCACACCGUCACACAUCCGUACAGUCCACACCGUCAUACAAACACACAUCUAUACAGUCCACACCGUCACACAUCCGUACAGUCCACACCGUCAUACAAACACACACACAUCCAUACAGUCCACACCGUCAUACAAACACACACACAUCUAUACAGUCCACACCGUCACACAUCUAUACAGUCCACACCGUCAUACACACACACAUCUCUACAGUCCACACCAUCACAUACACACACACAUCUAUAUGGUCUACACCGUCACACACACACAUCUAUACAGUCCACACCGUCGUACACACACGCCCACACCCGCAUGCCCACACAUCCAUACAGUCCACAUUCACGUAUGCCCAUAUGCAUCCAUUCACACGUGUGUACACAUGCUCACACACAUUCAUAGACUCCACACAUGCACACGUGCGCACACACGCACAUGCUCGCACACAUGCACAGAUACACUCACGUCCACACACGCUCAAACAUGCGUGCACACCCGGAGGUGCCCAGAGGGGCAGGGUGGGGAGAACCCCUGCAGCCGCCACACCCCCUGCUCUUGUGGGUAGUUGGGGG
rnacentral:lncRNA from 1 species